rnacentral:rRNA from 1 species
UAAGACAGAGGUGGCAAGCGUUGUUCGGAUUUACUGGGCGUAAAGAGUGCGUAGGUGGUGAGGUAAGACCUGUGGGAAAGACCUGGGCUUAACCCAGGAAGGUCGCAGGUGACUGCCUCGCUUGAGGACGGGAGAGGAGAGCGGAAUUCCCGGUGUAGCGGUGAAAUGCGUAGAGAUCGGGAAGAAGGCCGGUGGCGAAGGCGGCUCUCUGGAACGUUCCUGACACUGAGGCACGAAAGCGUGGGGAGCAAACAGGAUUAGAUACCCUGGUAGUCCACGCCCUAAACGAUGGGAACUAAGUGUCGGCGGGUUACCGCCGGUGCCGCACCUAACGGAGUAAGUUCCCCGCCUGGGGAGUACGGCCGCAAGGUUG